CCUUUUUGCCCUUUAGGCUGGGAAUGGCCACCCUAGUGAUAAAACAUCUGCUGUGCAUACAAGGACUCAGGUUCAAUCCACAGCGUUUCCGUUUGAAAAGGAUCAAGUAGCAGAGCAACUAUUGCCCGUUUGGCAAGAUCAUACAAAAGGUGCCUUUAAAACUGCCACCAUCUGAGAGGGGAGACGAUGUGUGUGUUGUUUUAUCCAGUAACAACAGAUGACAGUUUCUCAAAUGGCAAUGCUAAAUCAACACAUCAGACUUGGAACGGAGAUCUAAAAAUACAGCAAGUAGGAGAGAAAUUAUGGCAAGUUGUUUGCAGAAAGGAAAGACAACUAUCCAAACACAAAUCUUUGCCAGCUUCUGCCUUAGAAAAGAGUAAGAACGCAACUGAUGAUGACUACUUGGAGGCAUAAUGGAAUUUUAUGGCAAAAUACAUGGAAAGUGUAUAUGAAGGAUUUUGCUGUUUAGAGACAUUGCAAAAAGGAUCAGAAACACUGGUGGGGUGGAACACGUAUGACAUCAGAAUGCUCUGCCUUCGUGUGUUGAAAGAAAUGAAUUUGUGGAUUUUGAAAAUGGCCUUUUGGGAAAUGGAGUCUUUUAAAGUAGCGUUGUAUAAAGAGGAUACAAUCCUUUGAACAAAAUUGCAGCAUAUGUGGUAGUAUGGUGCCCCCUAGUGUAUAUUUUAGAGGAUAGCAAUUUCAUGGACUAAAGCAUAGACUAUCUCGCCUCCGAUGAUGAUAAGCUUUCGUAGAUUUCGUUCUAACCUGCUGUGCUUCCACCUUAAAAUGAGCCAAUGGGACUUUCACGUGUUUACCCAUAAAUGACUCUGAUAUAUUAAUGAAAAGGUUAAGAAAGAUGCUUUAGUAAAGGGAUAGCUAUACUAUCCCUUUAAAGUGAGCUAUACUAUUGUGGGUAUUAUGUACUGUCUAUUGCUGUAGUAGGCUCAUGCAUACUAUGUGAUUUCUGCAUUAUUUUAAAGCUUAUGCUUUGUUUCAGAUUCUGUGAUCCAAAUUCUAUUGCAUUGUAUACGGGAUGGCUGGCACCCUUAGGAGCUGUAAGAGGGAGGAAGAAUAAAACCUGAUAUUUAGAA